CGUUCCCGGACCUUGUACACACCGCCCGUCAAGUCAUGGGAGCCGGGGGUACCUGAAGAUGGUGACUUCACUAGGAGCUAUCUAAGGUAAGACCGGUGACUGGGGCU
rnacentral:rRNA from 1 species